UACAGAGGGUGCGAGCGUUGUCCGGAAUCACUGGGCGUAAAGGGCGCGUAGGCGGCUUGAUAAGUAGGGGGUGAAAUCUUGCGGCUCAACUGCAAGGCUGCCUCCUAAACUGUCAGGCUUGAGCACAGUAGAGGCAGGUGGAAUCCCGGGUGUAGCGGUUGGAAUGCGUAGAGAAUCGGGGAAGAACAUCGGUGGCGAAGGCG
rnacentral:rRNA from 1 species